rnacentral:tRNA from 1 species
GGGGCUGUAGCUCAAUUGGCAGAGCGCGGGACUCCAAAUCCCGUGGGUGGGGGUUCGAGUCCUCCCAGCCCCG